UAAUGUUUUUGGUAAGUACAUGAUUCCAUAGCGUAAAGUUAGGUCCCGUAAAAUGUUCCGCAAUUGUCCCGCUUCACGUCCAGGACAGAGUUAACAUAAUUAAUUUUUGCAUUUAUAAUUUAAUUUAUGAAAUAAUUAAUAUUCUUUAAAUGUGGAGCACGUUUUCACCUGGUUAUCGUCGAAGAUUAAAUUUAAAUUGAUUGCUGAGGAUACUAAAUUUAGAAGAGUGCAAUUCUCAAACCGUAUUAAAGAUGUUUUGUCAAGAAUAAAGUAGUAAGGGAAAGAGUGUUUCCAGUUUGCUUUCCUUCAAAAAGUUCUCAUACUGGUCAUUUUACUAGAGAUGAUACUUAUUACUUAAGUAUAAAGACGUCCGAAACUUGUGUUGUUUAAUGAAUCUUAAUGUAAGUAA